GCAAACUUGGUCAUUUAGAGGAAGUAAAAGUCGUAACAAGGUUUCCGUAGGUGAACCUGCGGAAGGAUCAUUAAUGAACAAACUCGGUCAGGCUGUCGCUGGCCCUUCGGGGCAUGUGCACGCUUGCCAUCAGUUUUCUUUUUUCAAACCCCUUUGUGCACUCUAUGUAGGCUAGAAAACAACUCUCAGGUAGUAAUUACCUGGAUUACUUGAGGACUUGCUGUUGCUUUGCAGCCGGCUGUUCUUGUGUGUUUCUAGUCUAUGUCUUAUAUACUCCAAAUGAAUGUGAUAGAAUGUAGUUAUAUGCAGGCUUUUAGGGCCUCUAAAACCAAUACAACUUUCAACAACGGAUCUCUUGGCUCUCGCAUCGAUGAAGAACGCAGC
rnacentral:misc_RNA from 1 species